UCCAGACUCCUACGGGAGGCAGCAGUGAGGAAUAUUGGUCAAUGGGCGCGAGCCUGAACCAGCCAAGUCGCGUGAGGGAUGAAGGAUCUAUGGUUCGUAAACCUCUUUUAUAAGGGAAUAAAGUGCGGGACGCGUCCCGCUUCGCAUGUACCUUAUGAAUAAGGAUCGGCUAACUCCGUGCCAGCAGCCGCGGUAAUACGGAGGAUGCGAGCGUUAUCCGGAUUUAUUGGGUUUAAAGGGUGCGUAGGCGGGACCUUAAGUCAGCGGUAAAAUUGCGGUGCUCAACGCCGUAGAGCCGUUGAAACUGGGGUUCUUGAGUGGGCGAGAAGUAUGCGGAAUGCGUGGUGUAGCGGUGAAAUGCAUAGAUAUCACGCAGAACUCCGAUUGCGAAGGCAGCAUACCGGCGCCCAACUGACGCUGAAGCACGAAAGCGUGGGUAUCGAACAGGAUUAGAUACCCCAGUA
rnacentral:rRNA from 1 species